GUUCCUGUAGUUGAAGUACAACAGUGGUUUUUCAGACCACCAGUUUUGGUUAGAAUCCGGACAGGAACU
rnacentral:tRNA from 1 species